rnacentral:rRNA from 1 species
AAUGGGCGAAAGCCUGAUCCAGCCAUGCCGCGUGAGUGAAGAAGGCCUUCGGGUUGUAAAGCUCUUUCAGACGGAAAGAAAUUGCUCUGGUUAAUAACUGGAGUAGAUGACGGUACCGUAAGAAGAAGCACCGGCUAACUACGUGCCAGCAGCCGCGGUAAUACGUAGGGUGCGAGCGUUAAUCGGAAUUACUGGGCGUAAAGCGUGCGCAGGCGGUUGCAUAAGACAGAUGUGAAAUCCCCGGGCUCAACCUGGGAACUGCGUUUGUGACUGUGCGACUGGAGUACGGUAGAGGGGGGUGGAAUUCCUGGUGUAGCAGUGAAAUGCGUAGAUAUCAGGAGGAACAUCGAUGGCGAAGGCAGCCCCCUGGACCUGUACUGACGCUCAUGCACGAAAGCGUGGGGAGCAAA